rnacentral:rRNA from 1 species
AGCUCCAAUAGCGUAUAUUAAAGUUGUUGCAGUUAAAAAGCUCGUAGUUGGAUUUGUGGCUCUCAGUGGCGGCUUGACACUUUGUGUUAUUGCCUGCCGCUGUGGCCAUCCUUGGGUGGAUCCUGUGUGGCAUUAGGUUGUCGUGCAGGGGAUGCCCAUCGUUUACUGUGAAAAAAUUAGAGUGUUCAAAGCAGGCUUAUGCCGUUGAAUAUAUUAGCAUGGAAUAAUAAGAUAGGACCUUGGUACUAUUUUGUUGGUUUGCGCACCAAGGUAAUGAUUAAUAGGGACAGUUGGGGGUAUUCGUAUUCCAUUGUCAGAGGUGAAAUUCUUGGAUUUUUGGAAGACGAACUACUGCGAAAGCAUUUACCAAGGAUGUUUUCAUUAAUCAAGAACGAAAGUA